AAGAACAAGGUCUCCGUAGGUGAACCUGCGGAGGGAUCAUUACACAAAUAUGAAGGCGGGCUGGAACCUCUCGGGGUUACAGCCUUGCUGAAUUAUUCACCCUUGUCUUUUGCGUACUUCUUGUUUCCUUGGUGGGUUCGCCCACCACUAGGACAAACAUAAACCUUUUGUAAUUGCAAUCAGCGUCAGUAACAAAUUAAUAAUUACAACUUUCAACAACGGAUCUCUUGGUUCUGGCAUCGAUGAAGAACGCAGCGAAAUGCGAUAAGUAGUGUGAAUUGCAGAAUUCAGUGAAUCAUCGAAUCUUUGAACGCACAUUGCGCCCUUUGGUAUUCCAAAGGGCAUGCCUGUUCGAGCGUCAUUUGUACCCUCAAGCUUUGCUUGGUGUUGGGCGUCUUGCUCUAGCUUUGCUGGAGACUCGCCUUAAAGUAAUUGGCAGCCGGCCUACUGGUUUCGGAGCGCAGCACAAGUCGCACUCCUAUCAGCAAAGGUCUAGCAUCCAUUAAGCCUUUUUUCAACUUUGACCUCGAUCAGUAGA
rnacentral:rRNA from 1 species